CUACGGGAUGCACCAGUAGGGAAUAUUGGACAAUGGGCGAAAGCCUGAUCCAGCAACACCGCGUGCACGAUGACGGCCUUCGGGUUGUAAAGUGCUUUUAGAGGAGAUGAGAAAGGACAGUAUCCUCUGAAUAAGCCUCGGCGAACUACGUGCCAGCAGCCGCGGUAAAACGUAGGAGGCAAGCGUUAUCCGGAUUUAUUGGGCGUAAAGCGCGUGCAGGCGGUCUAGCAAGUUGGAUGUGAAAGCUCCCGGCUCAACUGGGAGAGGUCGUUCAAUACUGUUAGACUAGAGAAUAGGAGAGGGAGGUGGAAUUCCGGGUGUAGUGGUGAAGUGCGUAGAUAUCCGGAGGAACACCAGUGGCGAAAGCGGCCUCCUGGACUAUUUCUGACGCUAAGACGCGAAAGCUAGGGUAGCAAACGGGAUUAGAUACCCGUGUAGUC
rnacentral:rRNA from 1 species